GUAACUUUAAAUAAAGGUUAAACAUGCACUUCUCAGAAUCCAAGAUCUUCUUCCCUCACCUCAGCUGCAACCACUUCAGGCAGGAAAAUGAAGUGCAAACUAACCUCUGUCAUUUUACUGUGCCUUGUCGCUCAAAGCCUUUCCUUUCCGGGUCUUUAUGGUCGACCGGGGAUGCCAGGAGGAAGGUUUCUCUCACUCUACGUUCGCCUACUUAAUCGGCUAAGACCUAAACCACCUCCAAGCCCGACAACAACCACAACAACCACAACAACGACACCAUCAACAACUACAACGAGCAAACCAACAACAACUACAAUCGCUGCUCCAGCCAAACCCGCCGCCACUCCAGCCAAACCCGCCGCCACCCCUGCACCCGCCGCCACUCCAGCCAAACCCGCCGCCACCCCGCCCCUGCCGCCACUCCAGCCAAACCCGCCGCCACCCCGCCCCUGCCGCCACUCCAGCCAAACCCGCCGCCCUGCUGCCAACCCGGCCCCCGCUGCUCCAGCCACCCCCGCCCCCGCUGCCCCCGCUGCCACACCAGCUCCAGCCAACCCAGCUGCUCCUGCCAACCCAGCUCCGCCAACCAGUACAUAAUGGCAUCAAAUACCAGCAUCUUUUAAAUGGGCAGGAAGAGACGUCUCUGUGCAUCGGGUGCCAAUGCUGGGGCCAGCUGGCUCAUUUGUUCAGUCAUUUGUGUAUUCACGCUAUGAAAUGUUUCAGAUCUAUGCUUUCUAUUGAAGUGCACCGCAUUCAUAUAAAAAAAAAACUGCACCAGACGUGCAGACUGCUGUAUGUGAGUGGGAAUUGUAAAAGAUGAAUUCUAUAAAUAAAUAAAGUGCUGAGCAAAUGGA